UUACCAGCCCCUGUAUUCUGAAAAGAAGGAUUUUCUUGAAGAUGCUGAUUCAAUGGUUCGGAGGUCGCUAUUCCAUCAUGAUGAAGGAGCCCAGUUGCUGAUUGUCUCGACCCAGAAGAGGUAGGGUAGGCUUGUUGAGUAUGUGACAAUGUCACAGCGCAUUCGAGAUACCUUUCGGUAAAUACUCGAAGAAAGCAUCCUACAAAGUCUACCAAUCAAUAAUUUGGAUCUGGUUGGUUAAUCAUUUCUUUUCUUCUUUUUCCAUUUUUGAAAAGAAAGUUCAAUUAAAUCAUGAAGAAUUCUUUUUUUUUUCUUCUAAAAAUUAAGUUAUGACGCUCAUUUUGGAUUGUAAUGGAGAGGCUAUCAGGAUUCUUUCGACGCUUUCAUACACGGCGAGGCUAUAAGGAUUCUUUCGACGCUUUCAUACACGGCGACCUUGAUGUUUGAGCCUCUAAUCUUGGUGUUGGUGGCCAAAGCAUGAUAUCUGGAACGGGGAGAGAGGCAUUAUUUCGUUGUUGUUUAGCGGAUGGUACGGGGAGAGAGAAUGGAUUCUCUACUGCAAAAAUAUGGUCGAAAGACCUGCCGACAAUUAAAAAAAAUGAUGAUAUGUUUGGUAAAUAGGAGAGUGGAAAUUUUAUUAUUUUAUGUUAGUAUGGAUUUUUUUAGUCAUUAAUUGAAAUAAAAUGAUGAUUUUAUAAAUAAUUUUAAUUUUUUGUUGAUGGUUUUUUUUUUUUUGUAGAUGUAAAAUGUUAUACAACUUAUUGCCUAUAAAAU
rnacentral:lncRNA from 1 species